GAUGAACGCUGGCGGCGUGCCUAAUACAUGCAAGUCGAGCGAACAGACGAGGAGCUUGCUCCUUCGACGUUAGCGGCGGACGGGUGAGUAACACGUAGGUAACCUACCUAUAAGACUGGGAUAACUUCGGGAAACCGGAGCUAAUACCGGAUAAUAUUUCGAACCGCAUGGUUCGAUAGUGAAAGAUGGCUUUGCUAUCACUUAUAGAUGGACCUGCGCCGUAUUAGCUAGUUGGUAAGGUAACGGCUUACCAAGGCAACGAUACGUAGCCGACCUGAGAGGGUGAUCGGCCACACUGGAACGUAGACACGGUCCAGACUCCUACGGGAGGCAGCAGUAGGGAAUCUUCCGCAAUGGGCGAAAGCCUGACGGAGCAACGCCGCGUGAGUGAUGAAGGUCUUCGGAUCGUAAAACUCUGUUAUUAGGGAAGAACAAACGUGUAAGUAACUGUGCACGUCUUGACGGUACCUAAUCAGAAAGCCACGGCUAACUACGUG
rnacentral:rRNA from 1 species